AGUUCAAACAAAAUUUAUAUGUCAGCUACAUGUAUUAAAGGGCAUGCCUCAACAAUCCUGACAAUUUUCUCAGGAAUGCAAGUAUUUAAUGUGAUUGAAUCUGUUUAUUUAUAUAUGCAUGUUAGUAUGUGUGUGCUUAUAAAUAUGUGAUCUUUGUUACUUUCUAAGGUUUUUGAUCAACAGAACAAAUCUCUGUUGAUUAUUGAUCCAAUGAGAGAGAACAAAACAACGUGCUAGCUAAUUUUUAAAUUGGGGACGUAAGUAAGCAUAAGACAUUAAUUGAAUUGUAGAAUGAUGUGAAUAACUCAUUUAAGAUUUAAAAAUAAAGGUUAAGUUAGAAUUGUUUUUAUAAUUAUUUUUUUAAAACUAAUUACUUGACACAUAGAGAACAUGAUGCAGAAGGGUGGAAAAUUGAUACCAUCCACCACUCCAAGCAACAGGACAGUGUUUCUUGUGGAGUUUAUUGCAUGAAGUUUGCAGAAGCAGUUGUUUUGAAAACAUCACUACAUCUUCAGAAGGACACUGUGCAGGAAAUGAGAUGCAACAGUAUGAAGACCAUCAUAAAUAAUCAAGAUGAGGACACUAGCAAUUUAUGCAGACGUUGCUACAGACAUGAACCCCCAAAUAUCAAAGUGAAAAGCAUCAAGUGGGUUCAAUGUGAUGGAUGUGCCAUUUCUUGGUAUCACGUUGUGUGUUUGAAUUUAAAACAAGUCAGAGAAUCAACUUUGUUUUGUGUGAUAUUUGCAAAAUGUCUGAGUAGUUAAUGUUAAUGUCAAUUACAGAUAUGUGUAUAACUUUUCUGCUAUGAUUAUUCAUAUUUUCCUGUGCAAGUUUUUAUCUAUUUAUUUAUUUUUUUAAGCUAAGCAACAAAUUCGUCUAUGUGCCGUGCAGUGUGAUAUCAAUGAUUUUUCAUCCCCAGCAUCAAAACGAAGUUGCAGAUGUUUGUUACUCAUUUACAUCUUAUUUGUCUAAUAGGUCAUAUGCUUCAUUUCAAAUAUAUUAAGGAAUUGUCAAAACUAUUGUAUUUAUGAAAACAUAACUGAAAUUAAAUUCAUAUUAUAUUAUAUAUUCCGAUUUUGUAACAAUUAGAUUGUAUAAUAUUUCAAAAUUUAUGGCAUGUGAUUUUUUUUUUUGGUCCUUAAUGAGAACAAGAAAAAGUGUUGCUUGCCAUUGUUAAUAGGAAAGAAAUCCACUGGAUUUUGUUGGUAAACUGAUUCUUACAUAUAAAGUGAAUUUAAUAUUUUUGGCUAUGACUGGAUCAUAGCUGAUUCAAACAAAAGUUCAAACAAAAUUAAUAUGUCAGCUACAUGUAUUAAAGGGCAUGCCUCAACAAUCCUGACAAUUUUCUCAGGAAUGCAAGUAUUUAAUGUGAUUGAAUCUGUUUAUUUAUAUAUGCAUGUUAGUAUGUGUGUGUUUAUAAAUAUGUGAUCUUUGUUACUUUCUAAGGUUAUUGAUCAACAGAACAAAUCUCUGUUGAUUAUUGAUCCAAUGGGAGAGAACAAAACGACGUGCCAGCUAAUUUUUAAACUGUGGACGUAAGUAAGCAUAAGACAUUAAUUGAAUUGUAGAAUGAUGUGAAUAACACAUUUAAGAUUUAAAAAUAAAGGUUGAGUUAGAAUUGUUUUUAUAAUUUUUUUUUUAAAACUAAUUACUUGACACAUAGAGAACAUGAUGCAGAAGGGUGGAAAAUUGAUACCAUCCACCACUCCAAGCAACAGGACAGUGAUUCUUGUGGAGUUUAUUGCAUGAAGUUUGCAGAAGCAGUUGUUUUGAAAACAUCACUACAUCUUCCGGAGGACACUGUGCAGGAAAUGAGAUGCAACAUUAUGAAGACCAUCAUAAAUAAUCAAGAUGAGGACACUAGCAAUUUAUGCAGACGUUGCUAAAGACAUGAACCCCCAAAUAUCAAAGUGAAAAGCAUCAAGUGGGUUCAAUGUGAUGGAUGUGCCAUUUCUUGGUAUCACGUUGUGUGUUUGAAUUUAAAACAAGUCAGAGAAUCAACUUUGUUUUGCGUGAUAUUUGCAAAAUGUCUGAGUAGUUAAUGUUAAUGUCAAUUACAGAUAUGUGUAUAACUUUUCUGCUAUGAUUAUUCAUAUUUUCCUGUGCAAGUUUUUAUCUAUUUAUUUAUUUUUUUAAGCUAAGCAACAAAUUCGUCUAUGU